rnacentral:rRNA from 1 species
AACGAACGCUGGCGGCAGGCCUAACACAUGCAAGUCGAGCGAGGACUUCGGUCCUAGCGGCGGACGGGUGGGUAACGCGUGGGAACGUGCCCUUUGCUUCGGAAUAGCCCUGGGAAACUGGGAGUAAUACCGGAUGAGCCCUUUGGGGGAAAGAUUUAUCGGCGAAGGAUCGGCCCGCGUUGGAUUAGGUAGUUGGUGGGGUAAUGGCCUACCAAGCCGACGAUCCAUAGCUGGUUUGAGAGGAUGAUCAGCCACACUGGGACUGAGACACGGCCCAGACUCCUACGGGAGGCAGCAGUGGGGAAUCUUAGACAAGGGGGGAAACCCUGAUCUAGCCAUGCCGCGUGAGCGAUGAAGGCCUUAGGGUUGUAAAGCUCUUUCAGCUGGGAAGAUAAUGACGGUACCAGCAGAAGAAGCCCCGGCUAACUCCGUG